rnacentral:lncRNA from 1 species
UGUCUUUUAAAUGAACAAAACUUCAGAUAGUACUAAAGAAAAAGACUCUUGUGGUAUCCAAAAAAUCGGGUGGUGGAGGUACUGCAAAGGCCUGGAAGGGGGAAGCUUAGCCUUGACAGCAACGGAGCUGUACGCCAGGACCAAGCAAAAGUCUCACCAUGGAAAAGCUGACACUUUGCCUUAAAAGAAAAUUCCAGGCACAUGUGGCAAUUGGGUUUCUGUUUUAUGGGAAUGUGUUAGAAAAGAGCACUGAAGUUGCCAGGACUGGAUCAUCUGCUUUGGAACCAAGUCUUCUGCUGAACACAGAAAGGAAAUCAGUGAAGACAUUUUUUUCCAGAAGUAAGAUAAAGGGAAAGACUACAAUUUGAUAGAUUCACUGGCCACAUUCAAGAGAAACAUGAGAUUUAGCCCCCUGAGACACAUUGUAAUUAAACUAGAGAACUUGAUCAAUAGAGAUG